rnacentral:rRNA from 1 species
GACGAACGCUGGCGGCGUGCUUAACACAUGCAAGUCGAACGGAAAGGCCCUGCGUUUGUGGGGUGCUCGAGUGGCGAACGGGUGAGUAACACGUGAGUAACCUGCCCUUGACUUUGGGAUAACUUUAGGGAACUGGGGCUAAUACAGGAUAGGAUCUCCUGCUGCAUGGUGGGGGUUGGAAAGUUUCGGCGGUUGUGGAUGGACUCGCGGCUUAUCAGCUUGUUGGUGGGGUAGGGGAAUACCAAGGCUUUGACGGGUAGCCGGCCUGAGAGGGUGAACGGGGACCAGAGUCCUGAGAUACGGAGCAGACUGCAACGGGAGGCAGCAGUGGGGAACAUGGCACAACGGGCGGGAGCCUGAUGCAGCAACGCUGGGUGCGGGAUGACGUCUUACGGGUUGUAAACCGCUUUCGAAGGAGACGAAGCGUGAGUGACGGUAAUGGGUAAAGAAGCACCGGCUAACUACGUG